GCAUCAGCUCCAUCCACGCUCACUAAACUUUGACUCAUGGCUUGCAUGUUCUUCAUGUCACUUUUUCUGGAGUCGGUGGUCCUGCACACCUCGUAAUUGUACACGUGCGGGAGAGUCCCUGUUCCCAAAGUAUCCGAGUAACGUGGUGGACAAUACGGAAUGACAGGCAGGUUGGAGUGGUACAGGACGCGAGACUGUCUCCACCGGUACACUUUGACCGAUAUGAUAAGCAGCAAGCAGGCGAUGAAGAGGAAGGAGACCACCGCCAGCGCCAAGACUAAGUAAAAAGUCAA